AGAGUUUGAUCCUGGCUCAGAACGAACGCUGGCGGCGUGGAUAAGACAUGCAAGUCGAACGCUGACUAUGGGGUAGCAAUAUUCCAUGGUCGGAGUGGCGCAAGGGUGCGUAACACGUGGGCAAUUUGCCGUGAAGCCCGGAAUAACCCCGAGAAAUCGGGGCUAAUACCGGAUGUGACUCCCGGGAGGCAUCUUCUGGGACUCAAAGCUGGGGACCGUAAGGCCUGGCACUUCUCGAUAAGCCCGCGGCCUAUCAGCUAGUUGGUGAGGUAACGGCUCACCAAGGCUAAGACGGGUAGCUGGUCUGAGAGGACGACCAGCCACACUGGAACUGAGACACGGUCCGGACACCUACGGGUGGCAGCAGUCGAGGAUGUUUCUCAAUGGGCGUCAAGCGUGAAGGAGCGACGCGGCGUGGGGUGAUGAAAGGACGUCGGCCUGUAGACCCCUGUGAUUUGCGAACAGACCUCAUGAUGUAAAAGAUGAUGAGUUUGAUAGUAGCGGCAACAUGAAGGGACGGCUAACUCUGUGUCUGACAACGGCAGUUUGACAAAGGUCUCGUAAGGGGUUUGCAGUAGUCAUGUGGUAUUCAACGCCGGCCAGCGUUGGUUCCGAGUCAGGGAUCAACUCCUAAUCUCCUAAGUGAUAUUCGCCGUCCGCCCGCAGGUCUCGACCAUAAUGGGAGAGCUUCCGGUUGAGCAGGUAAUGGUGAGGAUCGAGGGAACCCAGUGGGGAGGGGAGUCCUUGUCAAGCUGACUGAGGCCAGAAGCUAGGGAGCAAACAGGAAUAGAUCCUGCUAGUCUAGCGUAAACGGUGCGGGCUUGCUGUAAAAGGAAUCGACCCCUUUUGUGGCGGAGCUACGCGAUAAGCGCGCCGCCUGGGAAGUACGGUCGCAGAUUAAACUCAAAGAAACUUGACGGGGGCCUGCACAAGCGGUGGAGUAUGUGGCUCAAUUCGAUGCAAUGCGAAGAACCUUACCUGGCCUUGACAUGCAUUUAGUAGGAGGGUGAAAGCCCGACGAGGGAGCAAUCCCAGGAUGCACAGGUGCUGCAUGGCUGUCGUCAGCUCGUGUCGUGAGAUGUUGGGUUAAGUCCCGCAACGAGCGCAACCCCUAUGUCCUGUUGCGACCCGGUCGAGAGACUGGAGCACUCUGGACAGACUGCCUCGCUUCAACGAGGAGGAAGGUGGGGAUGACGUCAAGUCAGGAUGGCCCUUACGGCCAGGGCUGCACACGUACUACAAUGCCCGGCACAAAGGGAAGCAAGACCGAGAGGUGGAGCAAAUCCCAGAAAACCGGGCUCAGUUCAGAUUGAAGGCUGCAACUCGCCUUCAUGAAGCCGGAAUCGCUAGUAAUGGCGCAUCAGCUACGGCGCCGUGAAUACGUUCCCAGGCCUUGUACACACCGCCCGUCACAUCAUGAAAGCCGGUUGUACCCGAAGUCGCUGUGUUAACUGCAAAGAGACAGGCGCCGAAGGUAUGGCUGGUGAUUGGGAUGAAGUCGUAACAAGGUAACC
rnacentral:rRNA from 1 species